AAUAGAUACCCAGGUAGUCCACGCCGUAAACGAUGAGAACUAGAUGUUAGGGGGCUUAGACCUUUUAGUAUCGCAGCAAACGCGUUAAGUUCUCCGCCUGGGGAGUACGGCCGCAAGGUUAAAACUCAAAUGAAUUGACGGGGGCCCGCACAAGCGGUGGAGCAUGUGGUUUAAUUCGAUGCAACGCGAAGAACCUUACCUACCUUUGAAUCCACGGAAUCUUGCAGAAAUGUGAGAGUGCCUUCGGGAACCGUGAGACAGGUGCUGCAUGGCUGUCGUCAGCUCGUGUCGUGAGAUGUUGGGUUAAGUCCCGUAACGAGCGCAACCCUUGUCCUUAGUUACCAGCGAGUUAUGUCGGGGACUUUAAGGAGACUGCCGGUGAUAAACCGGAGGAAGGUGGGGAUGACGUCAAGUCCUCAUGGCCCUUACAGGUAGGGCCACACACGUGCUACAAUGGCCGGUACAAAGGGUUGCCAACCCGCGAGGGGGAGCUAAUCUCAAAAGCCGGUCGUAGUCCGGAUCGGAGUCUGCAACUCGACUCCAUGAAG
rnacentral:rRNA from 1 species